CCAAAAGAAAAUAUUUUCGGAAUCUGGGUGAAAUGGACCUCAUGGACUCAGAACACUGGGGUCUGUUCUGGGUUCCCCACUUUAAAGAGGCUGAGAACACACUGUGGCAGAGGCGAGAGUCUGCUUGGGCGGGGCACCCAUGGGUGUUAGGGGUGGCCCGACUAGCACAGGCGCAUGUUCCAAGGGUCAAGGCCUGGGCCUGCUGUGUUCAAGCACAAGGGGCAGCGUCUCCACGCCACGUGGGCAAAGUACAGACGACACACAAACCCUGGGCUCAGUGCAGUAGAGAAGCCUGGAAAUAGAAUCAGCUGCCCCCCAGGGGGGGCACAAACAUUUUACUGGACUGUUGUAUGGGGGCUCUAGGGAUCAGAUUUUAUGGGGGACCUGACUAAGUGACCUCGGUGUAUAUUACUGGAAUAAUGUUUCCUAGGGAUUCGUCUGGAUCUUAUUAUUCCAGAGUGGAGACAGGGCUGAAAUACUCUGCAAUAACCAGGAUAAAUAAUAAGAGAAGGAGGAGCCACCCUAAGGGUUCUUGAUCUUCGCUGCGAGGCCCUGAGUACCCCAAAGAGCUCAUUUUUCAGGCGAGAAAACAGCAGAGGGGAAGAAGAAAGCCCUUUCUUUCUCUGGACUGCAUGCUUCUGGCUAGCAAAAUCGGGAAGCUGGGCACUCUUCUCAGAGGGGCUGGAAUCCACCAAAAAUAAAGCAAUAAUUUGAAGAAGAAGAAGAAAAAAGACCCCCAGAUAUGCUCAGAUGUCACUGGAUUCACAUCCGUGCUCCUGUGUCCCACUCAAGUGGCAAAGUCUGAGGGGCUCAUGCCUGUGAAAGGAAAAUGGCACAGUGUAUUGCUUUUCAUACCUUUAAUAAUGUAAAACUUCACUUCCU